GUUGAGGAAACUAUAGAAAUAGAAGUAAAGACUUGUAUUUAAACCGUCAGUGACGGUUGCAUUCAUUUAAAAAAAAAAUUGUGAUGGAAUGUAACAACAAAUCAGCAUUUAACAAAUAAGAAAAAAAUAGUCUCACCGAAGGGACUUCAUUCAGGGGAGACAACAAAACUAUUCUAAGUAAAAAGAGCAAAUUUUAACAAUGCAUAUUCAACUACACUUAGUACAAAUUAUCAAAAUAAUUAAGCAAUUUUAUCAAAUAUAAAACCAAAAUAACUUUUUGGCAUGUGAACAACUUCAAGAUAAUAUAAAAUUGGAUAUUUACAGCUUAAUAUCUCAUGCCAUGUUCACACUUGUAUAAUUUUAACUGAUAAGAAAUCAUCCAUAACAUUCUAAUUUUUUACAUCAGCACAAAUCCCAUCCUGAUGGGAGAAAAAAGGGGGACAGAGUCAUAAUAUAGUUAAAUUUUAUAAGGUGGAUAAACAUUGGCCUAAUUGUGUUCAUUAUAUAAUACAACAAAUGUAAGUUUUUAACGACCUAGACUGGCUAUAUAGCAUUUGCACGUUGGGUUUAUAUAAUAAGAUGAUAAUGGUGGUCUUUUAUAGAUUAAUUCAAAAUAUAAUUGCUUUAAAUCAAAUAUUUAAAAGGAGAAAUUUUUUAUUCAAAUUGAAACAGUGUUCUCCCAACAACUUUCAUAUAGCAUCCUGGAAAAUGGGGAAUUUUGAAUACCAUCAUGUUUUUAGAAAUUAUAGAAAAACAUCAUUAACACAAUCUAUUAAAAAAAAAGAAUUCAGAAAGCACCACAUUAUAAUAAAAGGCCCUGAGGAGAACACAGGUAUUUGGAUGGAAUUCGUUUUACACUCUGGUUAUAUAAAUGCUGAUAACAAAGGGUGAUGGCGGUGACUAGGUAUGUCUUUAGGAAACUUACAAAAUGCUGACAAACAGUCAGUAACUACAUUUUUUAAGGGAUUUAUUAUGAACACAUGAUAAAACAAUCUUCUUCAUUAAUUGCUCAGUCAUUAUAUUUCAAUAAUUAAUUCAGAUUAUUUAGACAUCAAAUUCACACAAAAAUGAUCUAUACAAUUUCACUUACACACUUGUACAUCCUCUCAAAGUAAUGUCACAUCACCUUGCCCUGCAGUUUUAUUAAUAUGAGGCAGGCAUUACCUGUAAAUGGGGGCGAAGUCUGUAUGAAUUAUUUUUUUGUAACUUAAAUAUUUGUUAAAAAAAAGAAACGGAAAUACCGUACUGUAACGUUUCCGAUUUUGGUUCUGUUGUUAGGGAUUUUAGUUGUGACGUUAUUUAAAUUAUGACGUCAUGUGCAAUGUAAACAAAGAAACGCUAUCAUCAGGUAACGUUUUUUCAUAUCAAGGAAUUAUUAAAAAUGAAACUGGUAUUGCACGUUCCUUCCUAUUUUAUACUAGACUGAUAAAAUAAUAUAUUUUACUCAAAGUUUCAUACAAACGAGACCGGAAAGGGAAGUACAUUGUACAUUUCUGCGCAGGUCCGGGAUUUCAAAACACGAC
rnacentral:lncRNA from 1 species